UACAGAGGUGGCGAGCGUUGUUCGGAUUUACUGGGCGUAAAGGGUGCGUAGGUGGUCAUGCAUGUCGGACGUGAAAUCCCACUGCUCAACGGUGGAACUGCGUUCGAAACUGCAAGACUAGAGUGCAGGAGAGGAGAGCGGAAUUCUUGGUGUAGCGGUGGAAUGCGUUGAUAUCAAGAAGAACACCGGUGGCGUAGGCGGCUCUCUGGAAUGUAACUGACACUGAGGCACGAAAGCGUGGGGAGCAAACAGG
rnacentral:rRNA from 1 species